rnacentral:rRNA from 3 species
UACGUAGGUGGCAAGCGUUAUCCGGAAUUAUUGGGCGUAAAGCGCGCGCAGGCGGUUUCUUAAGUCUGAUGUGAAAGCCCACGGCUCAACCGUGGAGGGUCAUUGGAAACUGGGGAACUUGAGUGCAGAAGAGAAAAGCGGAAUUCCACGUGUAGCGGUGAAAUGCGUAGAGAUGUGGAGGAACACCAGUGGCGAAGGCGGCUUUUUGGUCUGUAACUGACGCUGAGGCGCGAAAGCGUGGGGAGCAAACAGG